GUGAAAAUCAUAAAUUCAAUUUAUAAUCAACAACAACGAAUUGAUUCUUGGUGAUUCAAGCAAUUGAUUAAAGCGACCCGUGGUGAUUCAGUAGGUAGAAACAACAAUCUCACAUAACCAACAUCUAAGUUCAUAGCCACGGUAUCAAAUUCAAGAAUUACUGAAUUAGGGUAACAACAACAAUCAAGAUUCACAAGUGUAUCAACAAAUCAACCAUGGAGUGUCAUUCAAAAAUUUGUCUGGAAGCUUUAUGAGGUGCGAUACGGAAGGAUUUUUAUGUGUAAAUUUGUUUGGAUUGAUACCGAUGGAACCGUACAAGUUGAGCAUUAUACAAGAAGGCUUUGAUCUCAUAUGAAGCAUCAAUGAAACAAAGUUUCUAGAUUUGCUCGUCACUUCUCUAUGCGGUUAUGAAGGUCCAUACUCCAUACAACUUUAUACUAUUGGAUCUACUCG
rnacentral:lncRNA from 1 species